GUUUAUUAAAAACUCCCAAGAGGGUAUUGAUCAUUUACCAGCUGACAGGAUCAGUGCAGCAUUAUUUCUAUCCUGCGAUUACCUCUAAGUGACGCGUGCCAACUUCGAUGGGUUCCGAGCCUCUGAGUCGAGCGCGUCCUGAAAUUAACUUGAAUAACCUAAUUUCUACCUUCCGUAGAUCUGUUCUCCCACACUGUGCAAAGGGCAAAACAGAAGUGGAACAAGAAAGAUUAACAAGGUCUGUGCCAGCUGUUAGAGGAGAAGUCAUUGUUUGUCUGCAUUUAAGGAGAAAAGGACACUAUUUGGCAGCGUGGGGUGCCCUGGAGUCGCUGGAGCUAAUGAUCAUCCUGAGAAUUGAGCUGGGAGAAGCAGAAACCCUUGCUCUCUCUGGAAUGCCGUCUAACGUGGCCCUCAGGACGGAGGAGACACUUCUGUGCCCGUGUUGGAAGAAGCUGUGUUCGUCGAGUGAGACUAAGUUCCUGCUCACAUGUGAGAAUAUCCUCGUAAUUAUGAAAUGCCGUGGUUGAAUUCUGGUCUGGAGGAACUGAAGGCCGCUUGUCACCUGCUCAUUCCCUUCGCUCCUCUCUUCUGGCACACGGGGUCAGCAUCAGGGCCCUCUCCGGAGCACCGCGCCGCUGUGCGAGGAAGUUCACAAGGAGAAGAAGGGGAAGUGUGGCUACUGAAAAAGAUGAUUCAUGGGGCACACGGGUGGGUCAGCGCGUUAAGUGUCCGACUCUUAAUUCCGGCUCAGGUCAUGAUCUCAUGGUCCGGAGAUCAAGCUCUGCUUGUGUGCUCUCUCUCUCUCUCUUUCUUUCUCUCAAAAAAUAAAAAUUAAAGUUAUUCGUGAGCUUAAUACUGUGUGAGUGUGUGUUAUAUGGGUACAUACGUAUAUGUAUGUGUUUUCUCUCUCUUACGACUGGCUGCAGACAAUUAACAGUCUUUAGUCUCCGCUGCUUUCAGAACUGAAACUAAGGCUUUGUUGCAGAUUUGAAAGGUUGUACAAUAUUCG
rnacentral:lncRNA from 1 species